GACGAACGCUGGCGGCGUGCCUAAUACAUGCAAGUUGAGCGCUGAAGGUUGGUACUUGUACCGACUGGAUGAGCAGCGAACGGGUGAGUAACGCGUGGGGAAUCUGCCUUUGAGCGGGGGACAACAUUUGGAAACGAAUGCUAUACCGCAUAAAAACUUUAAACACAAGUUUUAAGUUUGAAAGAUGCAAUUGCAUCACUCAAAGAUGAUCCCGCGUUGUAUUAGCUAGUUGGUGAGGUAAAGGCUCACCAAGGCGAUGAUACAUAGCCGACCUGAGAGGGUGAUCGGCCACAUUGGGACUGAGACACGGCCCAAACUCCUACGGGAGGCAGCAGUAGGGAAUCUUCGGCAAUGGACGAAAGUCUGACCGAGCAACGCCGCGUGAGUGAAGAAGGUUUUCGGAUCGUAAAACUCUGUUGGUAGAGAAGAACGUUGGUGAGAGUGGAAAGCUCAUCAAGUGACGGUAACUACCCAGAAAGGGACGGCUAACUACGUG
rnacentral:rRNA from 1 species